UACGGAGGGUGCAAGCGUUAUCCGGAUUUACUGGGUUUAAAGGGUGCGUAGGUGGGUAGAUAAGUCAGCGGUGAAAUCUCCAGGCUUAACUUGGAAACUGCCAUUGAUACUAUCUGUCUUGAAUAUCCUGGAGGUGAGCGGAAUAUGUCAUGUAGCGGUGAAAUGCUUAGAUAUGGCACAGAACACCGAUCGCGAAGGCAGCUCACGAGGGCGAAACUGACGCUGAGGCACGAAAGCGUGGGGAUCGAACAGG
rnacentral:rRNA from 1 species